rnacentral:rRNA from 1 species
GACGAACGCUGGCGGCGUGCUUAACACAUGCAAGUCGAACGGAAAGGCCCUGCUUUUGUGGGGUGCUCGAGUGGCGAACGGGUGAGUAACACGUGAGUAACCUGCCCUUGACUGUGGGAUAACUUCAGGAAACUGGGGCUAAUACCGGAUAGGAGCUCCUGCUGCAUGGUGGGGGUUGGAAAGUUUCGGCGGUUGGGGAUGGACUCGCGGCUUAUCAGCUUGUUGGUGGGGUAGUGGCUUACCAAGGCUUUGACGGGUAGCCGGCCUGAGAGGGUGACCGGCCACAUUGGGACUGAGAUACGGCCCAGACUCCUACGGGAGGCAGCAGUGGGGAAUAUUGCCCAAUGGGCGGAAGCCUGAUGCAGCAACGCCGCGUGCGGGAUGACGGCCUUCGGGUUGUAAACCGCUUUCGCCUGUGACGAAGCGUGAGUGACGGUAAUGGGUAAAGAAGCACCGGCUAACUACGUG